rnacentral:lncRNA from 1 species
GCCAGCUGAGGCUACAUAGCAAGUUCCAGGCCAGCAUGAGCUACAUUGCAGACCCUAUUGAGAGGACUGACCCUCACAGAAAAUGUGAGGGGUCCAGAGUACACAGCCCCCAGGUUCUUCUGGCCCUCAGGUGAAAUGGAAAGGCUGGCUUCCUUGCUAGGUGUCUGGAGCUCUCUGGAGGUGUCAGUGCAAGAGGGAGACUACCAGCCCAGAGCUCAGCUUGAGGACUGAGUGAGCUGCCAGCCGACAACCUCAGCAAAUCCAUCUCCUUGGAAUACUUCAUCCCUACCCGACCCCCUCCACCCUUUGGCGACUUGUCAUAGCCCUGAGAACCUUCGAAUGAGACACCAGCUGCCCCUGCCUGUCGCGGGCUGAAUGUCCACGAUUCCUGCCUGUCUCCCGCGAUCAGGGGCAGGGAGUGGCGCUUCUUUACUCAAGCCAG